GAAAUCAGACGCUAUCAGUUUGGCUCAGGAGCAAUGGCAGCGGUCUUCAAAUAAACAAAGACUAUGAGAAGCAAGUAGCCUUCCUAUCUGGAAGUGGGAACCAGAGCACCCAUCCACAAGACGCCUAGGAGAUCAAAGAUCUCAGGGAAAGACAAGUCCAAACCAGUUAACCCAGUGCCUCUGCUAUCAACUGUUGUUCACAAGCUGCUGCUGUUGCUUUGGCAGGAACUCUUCUGUCUGGUUGGCCAUGUGCUCUUGACCCUGAUCUUUGUAACUAAGGAGCGUCUGAUUCCAGUCCACUCUGGACACUCUUGAGAAAACAUCUGGCUCCCUGUCAAACCACUGUGACCUCGUAGCCAUUCGUGCUGGUGCCAGCCAUCCUUGCCUUAAACAUCUUGCGUCCCUUCUUUCUUCCCUUCGUA
rnacentral:lncRNA from 1 species